UCUCCGGAAUUAUUGGGCGUAAAGAGUGCGUAGGUGGUCGGUUAAGUCUGUCGUGAAAGCCCGAGGCUCAACCUCAGACCUCCAUUCGAUACUGGCAGUCUAGAGUGUGGUAGGGGGGGGUGGAAUUCCUGGUGUAGCGGUGGAAUGCGUAGAUAUCUGGAGGAACACCAAUGGCGAAGGCAGGUAUCUGGGCCAUCACUGACACUCAGGGACGAAAGCGAGGGGAGCGAACAGGAUUAGAU
rnacentral:rRNA from 1 species